rnacentral:rRNA from 1 species
UAGGGAGCAAGCGUUAUCCGGAAUUAUUGGGUGUAAAGGGUGCGUAGACGGGAAAAUAAGUUAGUUGUGAAAUCCCUCGGCUUAACUGAGGAACUGCAACUAAAACUGUUUUUCUUGAGUGCAGGAGAGGAAAGUGGAAUUCCUAGUGUAGCGGUGAAAUGCGUAGAUAUUAGGAGGAACACCAGUGGCGAAGGCGACUUUCUGGACUGCAACUGACGUUGAGGCACGAAAGUGUGGGGAGCAAA